GCUGAAGCACUCUGCACUGCAUUGUGUUUACUAUUCAAGGUUCUCAGCAGCCAGCAGCCAUGCUCUUCCAUCACAACGAUUUGGUGUCAUAAUAGGCCCUGUAGACUGCCACUACAACUGGAGUAAGGGAACGGAGCUUAGAGGAGAUUGGAAGGAAGGCGGUUUAUAGAAUUGAAGGUCGCCCAGAGAAGUGAUCCCCGCCCGCCCUCUCUUCACUUGUUGACGGGGUUGUAAGCAGGCCGCAGGAGAGGCCGAUCUUGUACCAGCUCAGUCUGCCAGUGUAUGGCAGUUGGUCCCGGUGCGCUCAGCGACUACGAGAGGAAGAUGAAUUCUCAGGAAAAGUGCAACAACUUCAUGCGUCAGUUCCGGGACGAUGAGUCUCGGGAACUGAAGAAGCUGACUGCCAACCAGUUCAUGUGUGUGUG